CCUACGGUGGGCAGCAGUGAGGAAUAUUGGUCAAUGGGCGGGAGCCUGAACCAGCCAAGCCGCGUGAAGGAAGACGGUUUUCGGAUUGUAAACUUCUGUUCUUAGUGAAGAAUAAUGACGGUAGCUAAGGAGCAAGCCACGGCUAACUACGUGCCAGCAGCCGCGGUAAUACGUAGGUGGCAAGCGUUGUCCGGAAUUACUGGGUGUAAAGGGAGCGCAGGCGGGAAGCCAAGUCAGCUGUGAAAACUACGGGCUUAACUUGUAGACUGCAGUUGAAACUGGUUUUCUUGAGGGAAGUAGAGGUUGGCGGAAUUCCGAGUGUAGCGGUGAAAUGCGUAGAUAUUCGGAGGAACACCGGUGGCGAAGGCAGCUCACUGGACUGCAACUGACACUGAGGCUCGAAAGUGUGGGUAUCAAACAGGAUUAGAUACCCCUGUAGUC
rnacentral:rRNA from 1 species